UCAAUCUCAUUUUGGCUCGCCUUGAAACUAUGUCCCGAGAUGUGGCUAGGUUGAAUGUGGGUCUUGAGAAAUUAGAUACGGAUGUGGCAUCAAUGAGUGGGAUAUUAGAACGUGUGGAAAGCCAAAAGAGUCGACCUUCUACCCCUCAAAACAUUUCCCCAACUAAUACUCCCGAGACCUUGCACCAAAUGCAAUAUACACC
rnacentral:lncRNA from 1 species